rnacentral:rRNA from 1 species
AGGUGCGGUCAUACUAGCACUUACGCACCUGAUCCCAUCAAAACUCCGAAGUUAAGUACACUUGGCAAGAAUAGAACUAGGAUGUUCCCAUAAUACUUGUGUAAUGUUUUAU